rnacentral:rRNA from 1 species
CAGUAGCCGCGGUAAUACAGAGGGUGCGAGCGUUAAUCGGAUUUACUGGGCGUAAAGCGUGCGUAGGCGGCUUUUUAAGUCGGAUGUGAAAUCCCUGAGCUUAACUUAGGAAUUGCAUUCGAUACUGGGAAGCUAGAGUAUGGGAGAGGAUGGUAGAAUUCCAGGUGUAGCGGUGAAAUGCGUAGAGAUCUGGAGGAAUACCGAUGGCGAAGGCAGCCAUCUGGCCUAAUACUGACGCUGAGGUACGAAAGCAUGGGGAGCAAACAGGAUUAGAUACCCCGGUAGUCCCUGUCUCUUAUAU